UAAACGAAAAAGUGAUCGUUAUUAAUAAUUUCAGGACCAUGAUACAUUGGCAAUGCUUUCGGGUGCGGUAACGGGUACAGUACGGAUCUGGGAGACUUUUUUUUUGUUUGUCGUCAUAAAUUAAUGAUUUAGUUCUAAUUAAUCAUUAGUCAAAUGUUAACCAUUAUGCUUUUGAAAUUUCGGUUUAAUCCCCCAAUUAAAGUAUUAAACCAUUGAUCUAAUUCUCAUUUACGAUUUUAAAUGAAGUACAAUAAUUAAGAGAGUAAAAGCCCAGUAUUUACUACUAAGAUAACUUUAGGCCCAAUAAAAUACCCAAUUCGUAAUUUUACAUACUCCUUCGCCGGCACCGGGAAAUCCGCCGAUGUGAUGGUAAGAAAUAAGAAAUUCUACGAUUUCCCCCGAAAAGCCUAGGACUUUAUUGUUCCGGCCACAUAUUCUACUCUCUAAGGCACUCAAUUUAUCGGCGGAAUUCUCUUUCCGGCUAUUGUUCUUCUAAUUUACAAUUCAGUAAGAGAAAACAUGAGCGACACUUCACGUCCUCUGUCUUGUCUCCGGCUACUCCUAUUGUCCAUAAAGUGUUCGACGAAAAGCCCAAGAUAGAGGAUAGGACUGUGGAGUCGAUUUUUUUGUUCUUACGAGAUGUUCUUAGAUCCUCCAUGAUGAUAACAGAGACAGAGACUCCGAGGAGUGUCCAAGAUUUAACUACAUCUUCGAAGCUUCUGACGCUUUACGCGGGGGACUUAGUGUCUUCUUUGGGCCUAUUUGGUGAAUUGAAAGAUAAAGAUGUGAUUGUUUGGAACAGUAUGAUCACUGGUUCGAAUCAAAAUGGUCAUUACAUUACAUGGCAGCUGUUGGAUUGUUCGUUGAGAUGAUUCAGAAGGGAUAUGAGUUUGAUUCUACGACGCUCUUACUUGCAGCUUCGGCGUUAUCCACGUUACAUCUUUCAAAGAAAUUUCCAAUGGUUCAUUGUUUAGCAAUAGAGACUAGUUUGGUUUCGGAUUCUAGUUUGUGCAAUGCAUUGAUGAUUCUAUAUGCAAAAGGCGAGGACUUGAGCUCCACAGAGUGUGUGUGUGUUCACGCAUAUGGAGCACCGGGACAUUGUUUCUUGGAACACGAUAGUGACUCGAUGUAUUUCAGAUGGGUAUCCCAGGAAAUCGUUGAAAUAUUUCAAGUCGAUGACUGGUUCAGGACAAGAGGCUGAUAGUGUGACUUUUUCAUGCGUUAUCUCAGCUUGCUCUUCUCUUGAAAAACUUCCUUUGGGUGAACCCCUCCACGGGUUGGUUAUAAAAUCAGGUUAUAGUCCAGAAGCUGAGGUCUCUGUGGCCAACUCCAUCAUUUCGAUGUACUCAAAAUGUGAGGACGCCGAGGCGCGGAAACUUUGUUUGAAGAAUUAUUGUGCAAGGAUGUUAUUUCUUGGAAUGCAAUCCUUAAUGGGUUUGCUGCAAAUGGAAUGUUCGAGGAAGCAUUUGGUGUUUUGAAGGAAAUGCAAUCGGUGGAUAAGAUCCAGCCUGAUAUCGCCACCGUGGUUUCAAUAACUUCCAUAUGUGGUGAUUUCUGUUUGUCACGAGAGGGAAGAGCAGUUCAUGGUUAUACGGUUCGCUGGGAGAUGCAAUCCAGAGCUUUAGAGGUAAUAAACAGUGUUAUUGAUAUGUAACGUAAAUGUGGCUUAAAACCUCAGGCUGACUUGUUGUUCAAGACAACAACAGAUCGAGACUUGGUUUCAUGGAACUCGAUAUGAUAUCUGCUUUCGCGCAAAACGGGUUUACACAAGAAGCUAAGAAUCUGUUCAAGGAAGUUUUCAUUGCAGGGACCUUACUUCAGCAUUCCUGCUGUUCGAGUCGAUAUCGGAAACAAGGGAUCUCACAUCUUGGAACUCUGUUAUCGAUGGCUGCGCAUCAAGUGGUCACCAUUCAGAAUCUUUGAGAGCGUUUCAAGCAAUGAGUAUUUUUACCAAAAUAAUUUUUUAGCGUUUGCGUUUUGUAUAUAGACACUUUCAAUUGGUGGAUCAUUAAUUUCGUAAUUACCGCCAUAAAAUCUAGCGUUUCAACAAA